AAUGAACGCUGGCGGCGUGCUUAACACAUGCAAGUCGCACGAGAACGUUUCAGCUUGCUGAAACUAGUAAAGUGGCGUACGGGUGAGUAACGCGUGGGUAAUCUACCUCCGAAUUGGGGAUAACAUUGCGAAAGUGAUGCUAAUACCGAAUGACAUCUCAAGAGCUUCGGCUCUGGAGAUCAAAGGUGGCCUCUCCUUGGAAGCUACUGUUUGGAGAUGAGCCCGCGUACCAUUAGCUUGUUGGUAGGGUAAUGGCCUACCAAGGCCGCGAUGGUUAGCUGGUCUGAGAGGAUGAUCAGCCACACUGGAACUGACACACGGUCCAGACUCCUNACGGGAGGCAGCAGUGGGGAAUAUUGGACAAUGGGCGCAAGCCUGAUCCAGCAAUGCCGCGUGUGUGAAGAAGGCCUGCGGGUUGUAAAGCACUUUCAGUAGAGAAGAAAAGCUUACGGUUAAUACCUGUGAGUCUUGACGUAACCUACAGAAGAG
rnacentral:rRNA from 1 species